GACGAACGCUGGCGGCGUGCUUAACACAUGCAAGUCGAACGGAAAGGCCCUGCUUUUGUGGGGUGCUCGAGUGGCGAACGGGUGAGUAACACGUGAGUAACCUGCCCUUGACUUUGGGAUAACUUCAGGAAACUGGGGCUAAUACCGGAUAGGAGCUCCUGCUGCAUGGUGGGGGUUGGAAAGUUUCGGCGGUUGGGGAUGGACUCGCGGGUUAUCAGCUUGUUGGUGGGGUAGUGGCUUACCAAGGCUUUGACGGGUAGCCGGCCUGAGAGGGUGACCGGCCACCUUGGGACUGAGAUACGGCCCAGACUCCUACGGGAGGCAGCAGUGGGGAAUAUUGCACAAUGGGCGGAAGCCUGACGCAGCAACGCCGCGUGCGGGAUGACGGCCUUCGGGUUGUAAACCGCUUUCGCCUGUGACGAAGCGUGAGUGACGGUAAUGGGUAAAGAAGCACCGGCUAACUACGUG
rnacentral:rRNA from 1 species